rnacentral:rRNA from 1 species
GACGAACGCUGGCGGCGUGCUUAACACAUGCAAGUCGAACGGAAAGGCCCUGCUUUUGUGGGGUGCUCGAGUGGCGAACGGGUGAGUAACACGUGAGUAACCUGCCCUUGACUUUGGGAUAACUUCAGGAAACUGGGGCUAAUACCGGAUAGGAGCUCCUGCUGCAUGGUGGGGGUUGGAAAGUUUCGGCGGUUGGGGAUGGACUCGCGGCUUAUCAGCUUGUUGGUGGGGUAGUGGCUUACCAAGGCUUUGACGGGUAGCCGGCCUGAGAGGGUGACCGGCCACAUUGGGACUGAGAUACGGCCCAGACUCGUACGGGAGGCAACAGUGGGGAAUAUUGCACAAUGGGCGGAAGCCUGAUGCAGCAACGCCGCGUGCGGGAUGACGGCCUUCGGGUUGUAAACCGCUUUCGCCUGUGACGAAGCGUGAGUGACGGUAAUGGGUAAAGAAGCACCGGCUAACUACGU